rnacentral:rRNA from 1 species
AGAGUUUGAUCCUGGCUCAGGACGAACGCUGGCGGCGCGCCUAACACAUGCAAGUCGAACGAGAGAGAGGGAGCUUGCUUCUUCAAUCGAGUGGCGAACGGGUGAGUAACGCGUGAGGAACCUGCCUCAAAGAGGGGGACAACAGUUGGAAACGACUGCUAAUACCGCAUAAGCCCACGGCUCGGCAUCGAGCAGAGGGAAAAGGAGCAAUCCGCUUUGAGAUGGCCUCGCGUCCGAUUAGCUAGUUGGUGAGGUAAUGGCCCACCAAGGCGACGAUCGGUAGCCGGACUGAGAGGUUGAACGGCCACAUUGGGACUGAGACACGGCCCAGACUCCUACGGGAGGCAGCAGUGGGGAAUAUUGCACAAUGGGGGAAACCCUGAUGCAGCGACGCCGCGUGGAGGAAGAAGGUCUUCGGAUUGUAAACUCCUGUUGUUGAGGAAGAUAAUGACGGUACUCAACAAGGAAGUGACGGCUAACUACGUGCCAGCAGCCGCGGUAAAACGUAGGUCACAAGCGUUGUCCGGAAUUACUGGGUGUAAAGGGAGCGCAGGCGGGAAGACAAGUUGGAAGUGAAAUCUAUGGGCUCAACCCAUAAACUGCUUUCAAAACUGUUUUUCUUGAGUAGUGCAGAGGUAGGCGGAAUUCCCGGUGUAGCGGUGGAAUGCGUAGAUAUCGGGAGGAACACCAGUGGCGAAGGCGGCCUACUGGGCACCAACUGACGCUGAGGCUCGAAAGUGUGGGUAGCAAACAGGAUUAGAUACCCUGGUAGUCCACACCGUAAACGAUGAUUACUAGGUGUUGGAGGAUUGACCCCUUCAGUGCCGCAGUUAACACAAUAAGUAAUCCACCUGGGGAGUACGACCGCAAGGUUGAAACUCAAAGGAAUUGACGGGGGCCCGCACAAGCAGUGGAGUAUGUGGUUUAAUUCGACGCAACGCGAAGAACCUUACCAAGUCUUGACAUCCCUUGACGAACAUAGAAAUAUGUUUUCUCUUCGGAGCAAGGAGACAGGUGGUGCAUGGUUGUCGUCAGCUCGUGUCGUGAGAUGUUGGGUUAAGUCCCGCAACGAGCGCAACCC